AUUGAACGCUGGCGGCAAGCCUAACACAUGCAAGUCGAACGAGUGGCGGACGGGUGAGUAAUGUAUGGGAACCUGCCUGAUGGAGGGGGAUAACUACUGGAAACGGUAGCUAAUACCGCCAACCAUCGGUUGUGCCCAGAUGGGAUUAGCGAGUAGGGGGGGGAAAGGCUCACCUAGGCGACGAUCCCUAGCUGGUCUGAGAGGGUGACCAGCCACACUGGAACUGAGACACGGUCCAGACUCCUACGGGAGGCAGCAGUGGGGAAUAUUGCACAAUGGGCGCAAGCCUGAUGCAGCCAUGCCGCGUGUAUGAAGAAGGCCUUCGGGUUGUAAAGUACUUUCAGCGGGGAGGCGUUACCCGCAGAAGAAGCACCGGCUAACUCCGUGCCAGCAGCCGCGGUAAUAC
rnacentral:rRNA from 1 species